rnacentral:tRNA from 1 species
GAGGGUAUAGCUCAGUGGUACAAUGUAUGCUUGGCAUGCAGGAGGUCCUGGGUUCAAUCCCCAGUGCCCCCA